CGGCAGCGGGGUGGGAGCUUGCUCCCACUGCCGGCGAGCGGCGCACGGGUGAGUAACACGUAUGCAACCUGCCCCUGUCAGGGGGACAACCCGCCGAAAGGCGGGCUAAGCCCGCGUAUAUCGCCCCGGGGCAUCCCGGGGGGAGGAAAGGAGCGAUCCGGACAGGGAUGGGCAUGCGGCGCAUUAGCUGGUCGGCGGGGUAACGGCCCACCGAGGCGACGAUGCGUAGGGGUUCUGAGAGGAAGGCCCCCCACACUGGUACUGAGACACGGACCAGACUCCUACGGGAGGCAGCAGUGAGGAAUAUUGGUCAAUGGGCGGGAGCCUGAACCAGCCAAGCCGCGUGAGGGAAGAAGGUACAGCGUAUCGUAAACCUCUUUUGUCAGGGAACAAAGGCGGGGACUAGUCCCCGGAUGAGGGUACCUGAAGAAAAAGCAUCGGCUAACUCCGUGCCAGCAGCCGCGGUAAUACGGAGGAUGCGAGCGUUAUCCGGAUUUAUUGGGUUUAAAGGGUGCGCAGGCGGCCUGUUAAGUCAGCGGUAAAAGCCCGGGGCUCAACCCCGGCGAGCCGUUGAAACUGGCGGGCUGGAGUUGGAGAGAAGUACGCGGAAUGCGCGGUGUAGCGGUGAAAUGCUUAGAUAUCGCGCAGAACCCCGAUUGCGAAGGCAGCGUACCGGCUCCACACUGACGCUGAGGCUCGAAAGUGUGGGUAUCAAACAGGAUUAGAUACCCUGGUAGUCCACACAGUAAACGAUGAAUACUCGCUGUUUGCGAUAUACGGCAAGCGCCAAGCGAAAGCAUUAAGUAUUCCACCUGGGGAGUAC
rnacentral:rRNA from 1 species